rnacentral:rRNA from 1 species
GAUGAACGCUGGCGGCGUGCCUAAUACAUGCAAGUCGAGCGAACAGACGAGGAGCUUGCUCCUCUGACGUUAGCGGCGGACGGGUGAGUAACACGUGGAUAACCUACCUAUAAGACUGGGAUAACUUCGGGAAACCGGAGCUAAUACCGGAUAAUAUAUUGAACCGCAUGGUUCAAUAGUGAAAGACGGUUUUGCUGUCACUUAUAGAUGGAUCCGCGCCGCAUUAGCUAGUUGGUAAGGUAACGGCUUACCAAGGCAACGAUGCGUAGCCGACCUGAGAGGGGGAUCGGCCACACUGGAACUGAGACACGGUCCAGACUCCUACGGGAGGCAGCAGUAGGGAAUCUUCCGGAAUGGGCGAAAGCCUGACGGAGCAACGCCGCGUGAGUGAUGAAGGUCCUCGGAUCGUAAAACUCUGUUAUUAGGGAAGAACAAAUGUGUAAGUAACUAUGCACGUCUUGACGGUACCUAAUCAGAAAGCCACGGCUAACUACGUG